rnacentral:rRNA from 1 species
UACGAAGGGGGCUAGCGUUGUUCGGAAUUACUGGGCGUAAAGCGUGCGCAGGCGGCUUCUCAAGUCAGGGGUGAAAGCCCAGAGCUCAACUCUGGAAUUGCCUUUGAGACUGAGAAGCUUGAGUACGAGAGAGGUGAGUGGAAUUCCCAGUGUAGAGGUGAAAUUCGUAGAUAUCGAGAGGAACACCGGUGGCGAAGGCGGCCUUCUGGACAGCAACUGACGCUGAGACGCGAAAGCGUGGGGAGCAAACAGG